CACUCACACACUCACACCAAAGACAGUAGAGCAAGGCACUAGCUUGCCAUUGGGAUCAACUUUGGGGUUCAGUGGCUUGCCCAAGGACACCUCGGCAUGUGGAGUCAUGUGGGCUGGGAAUCGAACCACCAGCCCUACAAUUAGUGGGCAACCCGUUCAAUCCGCAGCCACCCAUAUUAGAGCGAGUUCAUACACAUUGCACAACCUCUGAUAUAUAUUCACACAAACGCGAACAAACAUGCACACACACGGAGAGCAGUACAGGUUUUCAUACAAGAGCUGAAAAAGCAAGAACUACUCACAGAUGCAUGGCUAAUAAGCAACAUGUGUAGCUGGCUAAAUGAUUCAGUCAUCCCCUAAAAUAGGCAGUCUAUAGGCCUGAUAACAGCUUCUUUAUGAUCUAUCCAGGCAGCUGUGCCUUUAAUUUACAAUCUACUUAAAAAGUCAUGCAUUAUUAGACAUGAUAAACAAUGCAACAUUAGAUGAUGACUAAUUAUAAAAUAGACGGACACCGGUACACCAGCUCAUGUCUCGGCUUGCAUAACUGUUUUCAGCUUAUAACAACUGGUGAUCCAAAAUUAAACACCCACACUACACAUAUUCACGUGUGCACAUCCACAUAAAAACAAAUUCACAUGCACAACACGUACAGAUCACUGCAUUAAUACGAUCGUAUCGUACUUCCUGGAUUCCAUAUAUGUGAGUAAAGUUUACUUCUGGGUGUGGACUCUAUGAAGCUGAGACUUCAGGCGAUUAUGUUGCUGCAGGCUUGCGUGCACUUGUAAGCCAAAGAUGAAAAGACGAAACCUUUACCACUUCUCAUACUGACAUACACAAAAUCCAGGAAAUCACACUGAUCAAAUGAACUUCUGUUUUUUUCCCAGUGUAAUAGUGGCUGACAGUCUGGACCAGAUUCUUUAUUUAGACAAAAGAGUGAACUUUUUAUGAAUUGGCAUCAAUCCCAGGUCUUAGGUUGGAUCAUAAGCAAUUAUAUUCAUUCUUUCAAUCAAUCUUAUGAGGAUCAGGAAUCCCAGGAACACUGGGAAUGAGGUGGGAGUACGCCCUGAAUGGGACACCAGUCGACCAAAGGUCAUCUCACACACACGUGCACGCACACUUCCAAUGAUUUUUUCUGUUAUUUACCCUCUCUGUUUAAUCAGCAAACUCAUGACAUGACUUAUUAAAAAAAUAUUGACUGAACAUGUAAAGACGAAUGGAUAAAAGUAUACAUUUCUUUUUUAUCUUGGGUCUCAGGUGUCCCAUCCGUUCAGCGCCCAUGGCUCUAGUCAAAAGUGGGAACGUAGAGCACCAGUGCAAAACAAAACAUAACUACCUUAAAACUAUCUAAAAUUAAGUCAAGUACUUUUUUUUUUUUUUAUUGUCAUUCCUCUGUAUAACUUGUAUAGAUCAUGUUAGAAAAACUUUCAUUUCUCCAGGACCACGGUGCAACACAGCUCAGUACGCAAGUCUACAUAAAGUGCACUACACAACAGUGUGAGAGUAAAGCUGAGCAGCCUGUGCCAAAAGCAGCAACACACCCUGACAAAAGCCCACACUUCCUGACAGACUGUCCUGCAAAACAUCUCAGCUGCUACAAGUGGCUAAAAUGACAUCUUAUUAUCUUGACUAAAAGGACGUAUUGUCAAAACAGCAAGAUGUCCAUGCAACAAAUAAAUAAAGGCAUUCCUCGGGCUACAUAGUUUCUAACUUUUGAGUCAACACUGGAUUGAAGAAGAAAAAAAAGAAAAAGAAAAAAAAAACCUAGCAACUGAGGAAGAUAAACAAAAAUAAAAUAAAAAUAGAUACCAAAACUUACCC